CCCUACGGGUGGCAGCAGUAGGGAAUCUUGCGCAAUGGGCGAAAGCCUGACGCAGCCAUGCCGCGUGAAUGAUGAAGGUCUUAGGAUUGUAAAAUUCUUUCACCGGGGACGAUAAUGACGGUACCCGGAGAAGAAGCUCCGGCUAACUUCGUGCCAGCAGCCGCGGUAAUACGAAGGGGGCUAGCGUUGCUCGGAAUUACUGGGCGUAAAGGGCGCGUAGGCGGACAGUUUAGUCAGAGGUGAAAGCCCAGGGCUCAACCUUGGAAUAGCCUUUGAUACUGGCUGUCUUGAGUACGGGAGAGGUGUGUGGAACUCCGAGUGUAGAGGUGAAAUUCGUAGAUAUUCGGAAGAACACCAGUGGCGAAGGCGACACACUGGCCCGUUACUGACGCUGAGGCGCGAAAGCGUGGGGAGCAAACAGGAUUAGAUACCCCGGUAGUC
rnacentral:rRNA from 1 species